rnacentral:rRNA from 1 species
AUUGAACGCUGGCGGAAUGCUUUACACAUGCAAGUCGAACGAUGAGACCUAGCUUGCUAGGUUGAUUAGUGGCGAACGGGUGAGUAAUGUAUCGGAACGUAUCCAAUAAUGGGGGAUAACUAACCGAAAGGUUAGCUAAUACCGCAUACGCCCUACGGGGCAAAGCAGGGGAUCUUCGGACCUUGCGUUAAUGGAGCGGCCGAUAUCUGAUUAGCUAGUUGGUGAGGUAAAGGCUCACCAAGGCGACGAUCAGUAGCUGGUCUGAGAGGACGACCAGCCACACUGGAACUGAGACACGGUCCAGACUCCGACGGGAGGCAGCAGUGGGGAAUUUUGGACAAUGGGCGAAAGCCUGAUCCAGCCAUUCCGCGUGAGUGAAGAAGGCCUUCGAGUUGUAAAGCUCUUUCGCAAGGGAAGAAAACUUACUUUCUAAUAAAGAGUGAGGUUGACGGUACCUUGAUAAGAAGCACCGGCUAACUACGUGCCAGCAGCCGCCGUAA